rnacentral:lncRNA from 1 species
CGCAGCCCCCGCGGCCGCAGCAGCAGCAGCAGCAGCAGCAGCCGCCCCGGGCGGCCUCCGCUAAGCGGUUCCGGUUCAGGCGGGCGGUGACGCCUCCGCGCCGGGCGGGCGGCGGCAGCGGGGCCGUGCUCGCCCCCCGUGCGUGUGGGUCUGCUUGCGCCUCAACCGCCCGCGGUGCUGAGGGGGCGCGGAGGGGCCGGGCCCGCUGCUCUCAGGCGUCCCCGAAUCGUACUGCGGGUGCGCGCGGCUGUACAGAACGUGGAAGUAUGGCUGUGUGCUGCGAUCACACAUUGCAAAGAAAAAAAAAGGUUAGUUUUCAGCUAGCUUCAACGUCUCCUUGAUGUGAACGUACUCCAGUGGGGUGCAAACCAAAGCGUUAAAGAAAUAUUGUUUCUUAGAACUCUGUUGAGCGUGGGCUCCUGUCACUAAUGUUGCAGUAACGUAAACAGGACCGUGGUGAGGCCCUCUGUGUCUGAGUAACACAAGUACGUGCAGCAUCUUCUGUGUCAGUGUCUGCUGUGGUUUGCCUCCCGACAAAAGGAUAUUCAGGAUUUGCUGGUGCUCUGCUUCAGAAGGACCAUUCUGUAUAGGAUGUAGCAUCUCACUACCACAUAGUUCACUGCUGCUGGGCACGCCCUGCCCUCAGACCAGGCCGUGGCAUAAGCUCUGCUCACCUCGCCUGCUCAAAUAAAUCUCCGGUAGGCAUCAGCAGCAACCAGGAAAUUUCAAACACAAUUUUGUCAGAAUCAAAUCUUAGAAUAUGAAAUGGAAUAAUGUUACUGAGAUGUCCAGUUUGCCACAUCUCACUAGGGCUGGAGAGACUCCUGUGGAAGAAUUCCUCAAUUGCCUGCCUCUCAUCAAACAAGAUAAGCUAGACAAGACAUUUCCUUCAUUGCAAAGGAACUGUUUAAACCAAGUGUUUUAAAGAGACCAUUCUGAAGUUUAAGAUUAUGGAUUUGCCUGAGGGGCUUUAUGCAGCAGCUGAGGAACACUAUAAAGCAUCUAAAACUCAGGCCCAGACUGGUCAUCACUGAGAUACCUGUGUCUACAAAGGGCUAGCUCCUGCAUGAAGAUACUUUUUAAUCUGUAGCAUCUUCACUAUACAGAAGACAAUGUACUUUUAUAGGUUAAAUGUUAAUGAUGUGACUCAUUAAAUUCUGUGCUUGAAAUCUUCUUGGUACAUCAUCAAAAGCUGUACAUGAUUCAAACCAGCAGAUGCGGAUUACUGCUUUGCUUAGAUGCAGUUUCUAUCUAUUUGGGAUAGAAAGAAGUGGUAAAUGUUGUUUAGCACCAAACUACUUUCUGCUUGCAAACCUAAUGAUACAGGAAGCACAGGUUUAAAAAAAAAUCCAUUAAAAUAAACAAUUGGUGAUAACUGGAGCUUUGACUCUGGUUAUCUUUCAUACACACACAGAAGUUUGUCAUAGAAUACCUUCCCCACACUGCCACCUAAUGUUUAACAGGAGUCCUACUAAUACUUUAGGCAUUAAGUCUAAAAUGCCAUUUUGCCAAAUUUAUCAGUUAAUUGUUGUAUGGGAUUUUAAGCAAAAACUUUGAAUGAUCAUGCCUGUGUCCAAAAUGAAAAGUGAUCUGGCUGGCCAACUGAAUCAUGACCUAAACUCGGUUAAUUGUAAUUCCUACAUUUAUUUUGCUCAUAAUACUGACAUCCAAAUCAACUGGAAUGGUGGUGAUGAACAGCCGAGGGAUAUUAGUUAUCAACCCUCUGAUAAUAUUAUUUAUUAGUACUUAUGUUCAUUACUGCAAUUCCAAAUCCAGUGGCAGCAAAACUAUCUUGAUUCCGACCCAACCAAGAUGGCAAAACCUUUUACUGUGUUCCUCAAGAGGAUACGUUGCCAUAUCACGUCUCAGUCUUCACUCAGAUGUUCACCCCUAUGGACUGCAGGGACUGAUCCCGUGGUACAUUUCUCCUUUGCUUAGCUGUUGAUUCUUCAAGGAUUAAGGCAGCCUUCUCUUUCCUGGAGGGAGUAAUCCAGUGCUUGCCAAAAAACAUCCUUCCAGCCAUGUCACAAGCUAUCUGAAGCCCUUCCAAUGCCUACUCCAACCACUAUGCUGUCAGCAGAGGCAGCUGGAGGUACUUGGCAAAAUGAUCCUGCAGUGACUGUUCACAGCAAAGACAUCAAGUCUUAGCAAGAUUCAUGUAAUGUAUGGAGCUACUGCUUAGUGUGACCCAACUUAAAAUAUUCAGAUUGCUUAUCUUGUUUCUUAGAAAGUAAGCAGCAUUUCUGAAUCAGAGAGAAAUAUGUAAAGAGUAAAUCAUUAUUUUGAAUACAGAGGAAAG